GUCUUGUCAGUGAUGACUUUAAACACAAAUGUCUGAACAAAUGAUUUACUAUGAUUCAUUUUUUCUAAACUGAGACAAGAC